UACGAAGGGAGCAAGCGUUGUUCGGAAUUACUGGGCGUAAAGGGAGUGUAGGCGGAUUGUUAAGUUAGAAGUGAAAGCCCAGGGCUCAACCUUGGAAUUGCUUUUAAUACUGGCAAUCUUGAGUAUCGGAGAGGUAAGUAGAAUUUCCAGUGUAGGAGUGAAAUCCGUAGAUAUUGGAAGGAAUACCGGUGGCGAAGGCGACUUACUGGCCGAUAACUGACGCUGAUGCUCGAAAGCGUGGGGAGCAAACAGG
rnacentral:rRNA from 1 species